AUUGAAACACCGAUUCCCAUACGAUCACCGAAGUUAAGCAACGUCGAUCCCGGUCAGUACUUAGAUGAGUGACCGCUUGGGAAUGCCAGUUGCUGUAAG